GGACGGGUGAGUAACGCGUGAACAAUCUGCCUAUGUCAGGGGGAUAACGUUGAGAAAUCGACGCUAAUACCGCAUAAGACCACGGAUGGGCAUCCAUCAGGGGUAAAGGAAUUAUCGGACAUAGAUGAGUUCGCGUCCCAUUAGGUAGUUGGUGAGGUAACGGCCCACCAAGCCGACGAUGGGUAGCCGACCUGAGAGGGUGAUCGGCCACAUUGGAACUGAGAGACGGUCCAGACUCC
rnacentral:rRNA from 1 species